GACGAACGCUGGCGGCGUGCCUAACACAUGCAAGUCAACUAGAUAUAGCAAUAUGUUUGGUGGCGAACGGGUGAGUAACGCGUAGAUAAUCUACCCUUUAAUCAUGGAUAACCUAGUGAAAACUGGACUAAUACAGGAUGUGAUCUUUGAAUGGCAUCAUUUGGAGAUUAAAGACUACGGGUCGUUAAAGGAAGAGUCUGCGUAUCAUUAGCUAGUUGGUAGGGUAACGGCCUACCAAGGCGACGAUGAUUAGCUGGUCUGAGAGGAUGAUCAGCCACACUGGGACUGAGAUACGGCCCAGACUCCUACGGGAGGCAG
rnacentral:rRNA from 1 species